CUUAACCUACGGGAGGCAGCAGUGGGGAAUAUUGCACAAUGGGGGGAACCCUGAUGCAGCGACGCCGCGUGAGUGAAGAAGUAUUUCGGUAUGUAAAGCUCUAUCAGCAGGGAAGAAAAUGACGGUACCUGACUAAGAAGCCCCGGCUAACUACGUGCCAGCAGCCGCGGUAAUACGUAGGGGGCAAGCGUUAUCCGGAUUUACUGGGUGUAAGGGGAGAGUAGACGGCAGAGCAAGUCUGAAGUGCAAGCCCG
rnacentral:rRNA from 1 species